CAAAUGGCUUUUUUAAAAGCCAAUUUUCCAGCUCAAUUUUAU
rfam:Lysinibacillus manganicus DSM 26584 contig20, whole genome shotgun sequence.